CUGGCUCAGGAUGAACGCUAGCUACAGGCUUAACACAUGCAAGUCGAGGGGCAGCAUGAUCGAAGCUUGCUUUGAUUGAUGGCGACCGGCGCACGGGUGAGUAACGCGUAUCCAACCUUCCCUAUAGUAGAGAAUAGCCCGGCGAAAGUCGGAUUAAUGCUCUAUGUUGUAUUUAGAGGACAUCUGAAGAAUACCAAAGGUUUACCGCUAUAGGAUGGGGAUGCGUCUGAUUAGGUAGUAGGCGGGGUAACGGCCCACCUAGCCGACGAUCAGUAGGGGUUCUGAGAGGAAGGUCCCCCACAUUGGAACUGAGACACGGUCCAAACUCCUACGGGAGGCAGCAGUGAGGAAUAUUGGUCAAUGGACGGAAGUCUGAACCAGCCAAAGUAGCGUGCAGGAUGACGGCCCUAUGGGUUGUAAACUGCUUUUAUAUAGGGAUAAAGUCGGGGACGUGUCCCCGUUUGUAGGUACUAUAUGAAUAAGGACCGGCUAAUUCCGUGCCAGCCGCCGC
rnacentral:rRNA from 1 species